GACGAACGCUGGCGGCGUGCUUAACACAUGCAAGUCGAACGGGUCUGCCCUGUUUUUUGCGGGGUGGGUCAGUGGCGAACGGGUGAGUAACACGUGAGUAACCUGCCCCUCACUUCUGGAUAACCGCUUGAAAGGGUGGCUAAUACGGGGUGUUCUGGCUGUGCCGCAUGGUGUGGCUGGGAAAGAUUCACUUUUGUGGUGUUUUGGUGGGGGAUGGGCUCGCGGCCUAUCAGCUUGUUGGUGGGGUGAUGGCCUGCCAGGGCUUUGACGGGUAGCCGGCAUGGGGGGGUGGGCGGUCACACUGGGACUGAGGUACGGCCCAGACUCGUGCGGGAGGCAGCAGUGAGGGGUACUGCACGAUGGGCUGAAGCAUGAUGCAGCGACGUCGCGUGAGGGAUGGAGGCCUUCGGGUUGUGAGCCUCUUUCGCCGGUGAAGAAGGUCCUGCUCUUUGGGGUGGGGUUGACGGUAGCCGGGUUAUGAAGCGCCGGCUAACUACGUG
rnacentral:rRNA from 1 species